GAUAUAUAUUUUAUAUAUAAUAUAUAUUUUCUCUGCUACCCAAUUCUUGUCUACGAGCGUUUCGACUUUCGGCUGUCGUCGUCAUCGAGGAAACGGUGGAUAUCAAUCUCGGUCGAUGACUCUUAUGGCGGCUUCGAGGCCUCCGACGAGAACUCCGGCGAUUUUCUGAAGUCCCUGGAUUGAGUUCCUUCUCGGUCGAGCGCCAUGGCGGCUCCCUUCUUCUCCUCCCCUUUCCAGCCCUACGUCUACCAGGCUGGAGAUAUGCUUGUGGAGAUCGGUAGUGGAUGAUCGUGCCACCAUUUCUGUGAUACUAUUUCUGUUCUCAUUACGAUUUAGUAGUCAAGUAUGCCAACCGUCGUAGCUCUCUGCCAAGAUCAGAAUAUUGUUGUAGCUAAGCUUGUGGGCUGCUGCUAUUAUAGGGACGUGGUGCAAUCUCCUCACUGUCGUUUAUGUCGGAUUUGUUUGCUCUCAGACGCUGCCAAUACUGUAUGAGAAAUAUGAAGAUCAAAUUGAUGACUUUCUAUAUAACCUCCUCGGGCAGUUCCAGAAUCACUAUAGCAAGCUGGAUGUGAGUGUGCUGAGUAAACUAUCCAAGGGAAAUCCCAGAUCAAAGAAGAAUGACUAGAGUCCAUCCUUCUUUGGUUCAUCUUGUCUUUUAUUGUGUGAUCGACAUGCUGUAUUGCUGUCAAAUAAAGAUGAAAACCUCCGCCACUAUUGUGAACACAACAGCAGCAAUUCUGUGCAUAGUCUUUUUGCCACUGAAUGCAGUUUUCUGAUAUCCCAACUGGUUGUCAAGCAAUUAUGCAAACAGAGCAUGAUGUUCUUUAGGUCAA